AAAUUAGAGUUAUUUUUGUAAGCUAUAAAUGAGAUAUUAUAUGAUAGAUUGUUUCUCUUUCUUUAAGAUGAGAUUGUAAAAGAUAAUUUUACCACCGAUUGGAGAAGAUUGGAAGAGGCAAUGAGCCUCUUUGCCAAGCAACAAUAUAAAGAGGAUUUAGAGCAAAGAUAAAAACAAAAUCAAUGAUAGCUAUAAAGGCUCUAGCAACCACUUUAUCUACUUCUAUUCUAUCAAAUUCUUUAAAAAAUAAGAUUGUAGAUGAAAAAAUCCUUGAAAAUUUUAUGAGAGGCAUGAGAGAGUUGAAGAUAGAAAUGAAUGUUUUGAAGAAAAAUACAAGGUCAAACUCUUCACGAUCAGCUAAAAU
rnacentral:lncRNA from 1 species